rnacentral:rRNA from 1 species
UACAGAGGGGGCAAGCGUUGUUCGGAAUUACUGGGCGUAAAGGGCGCGUAGGCGGCCUUCUAAGUCGAACGUGAAAUCCCUGGGCUCAACCCAGGAACUGCGUCCGAUACUGGAAGGCUUGAGUAUGGGAGAGGGAUGUAGAAUUCCAGGUGUAGCGGUGAAAUGCGUAGAUAUCUGGAGGAAUACCGGUGGCGAAGGCGGCAUCCUGGACCAUUACUGACGCUGAGGCGCGAAAGCUAGGGGAGCAAACGGG